rnacentral:lncRNA from 1 species
GAAGAUUAAUAUCUACUUUGGAUAUGUUGAAACUAGCAAAUUAAUAUUUAUAAGGUACAAACUAAUGCAACUGGGAGGGUCCUUUUGGAUUUUUUAUUUUUUAUUUCUUUUAAUGAAAUAGUAUAGCCGUGCGGCUAUACUAAGAUUUUUUGAAAAAACAACUUUUGACACGUGGCGCUAAAAGAGAGGGUUCUCACUUUUUUAUUUAAAAAAAAGGUACAGCCCAACGGCUAUACUCCGUGUUUUAAAUUAUUUUUAAAAUUGACCUUGUGUUGACACGUGGCGCCAAAUGGAUGGGGUUAAACUUUUUUUAUGUUUAAAAAUAAUAUAGCCGCACGGCUAUACUGAGUUUAGAUUUUCGAAACCGUCUAGCCGAGCCGCUAUACUAUUUAACACGUGGACGCUCUACAGGUGCUCUAUUUUUCACAAGGAGAUAGUAUAGCCGCGCGGCUAUACGCGAUUUUUCAUCUUUUUUCUUUUUUUAAAAAAAAAACAAGUAUAGCCGGCCGGCUGUACUUUCUAAAAAAACAAUUAAAAAAUAAAAUGUCUUUAAUAAAUAGUAUAGACGAGCGGUAACUAAUAAAUUAAAACCUAUUAGUUAAUUAAUUAAAUUGGGUUAAAGAGUUUAUAUGGUGAUAAUAAUUUUUAAAAAAACAACAUAAAUAUACGUACGUAUUUUUAAUGUUUCAUACACGUAAUUUUUACAAAAUUUUGAUUAAGACACACAAAAUUCACGUAUUAUACAAAUAAUUCUCACAUGUUAUUGAAUAAGAAUAACAUAUGUUAUAAAAAUUAUUAGAGUGGAAGAUUAAUAUCUACGUUGGAUAUGUUGAAACUAGCAAAUUAAUAUUUAUAAGGUACAAACUAAUGCAACUAGGAGGGUCCUUUUGGAUUUUUUAUUUUUUAUUUCUUUUAAUGAAAUAGUGUAGCCGUGCGGCGAUACUAAGAUUUUUUGAAAAAACAACAUUUGACACGUGGCGCUAAAAGAGAGGGUUCUCACUUUUUUUUUAAAAAAAAAAGGUACAGCCCAACGGCUAUACCCCGUGUUUUAAAUUUUUUUUAAAAUUGACCUUGUGUUGACACGUGGCGCCAAAUGGAUGGGGUUCAACUGUUUUUUAUAUUUAAAAAUAAUAUAGCCGCACGGCUAUACUGAGUUUAGAUUUUCGAAACAGUCUAGCCGAGCGGCUAUACUAUUUAACACGUGGACGCUCUGCAGCUGCUCUGUUUUUCACAAGGAGAUAGUAUAGCCGCGCGGCUAUACUCGAUUUUUUCCUUUUUUCUAUUUUUUUAAAAAAACAAGUAUAGCCGGCCGGCUUUACUGUCUAAAAAAAAUUAAAAAAUAAAAUGUCUUUAAUAAAUAGUAUGGACGAGCGGUAACUAAUAAAUUAAAACCUAUUAGUUAAUUAAUUAAAUUGGGUUUAAGAGUUUAUAUGGUGAUAAUAAUUUUUAAAAAAACAACAUAAAUGUACGUACGUAUUUUUAAUGUUUCAUACACGUAAUUUUUACAAAAAUUUGAGUAAGACACACAAAAUUCACGUAUUAUACAAAUAAUUCUCACAUGUUAUUGAAUAAGAAUAACAUAUGUUAUAAAAAUUAUUAGAGUGGAAGAUUAAUAUCUACUUUGGAUAUGUUGAAACUAGCAAAUUAAUAUUUAUAAGGUACAAACUAAUGCAACUAGGAGGGUCCUUUUGGAUUUUGUAUUUUGUAUUUCUUUUAAUGAAGUAGUAUAGCCGUGCGGCUAUACUAAGAUUUUUUGAAAAAACAACUUUUGACACGUGGCGCUAAAAGAGACGGUUCUCACUUUUUUAUUUAAAAAAAAAAAAGGUACAGCCCAACGGCUAU